ensembl:lncRNA
CGGACCUAUUUAUUUUUUCAUCCCCGGACUCAUCCCUGGAUUCCCACCGCAAACGGAACAUUUCAGCUGGAUCUUCACAAGUAGCUAUCUAGCCAAAUCGCAACCCCGGAUGAUUACUCCUGGCUAGCGCUUCCACCCACUUAGCGUGAAGCUAGCCCGGCCAGCGCACCUGUACCACCACCGUAGCAUACUCCUGGGCUACAAUACCCGGGCCCACGACCGGUCUAUCGAUGUCACCGCAUGAAGAGGAAUAAACAGACUCACCCCAUCGCGACGUCCCCUAAAGGCCAACUCUCUAGCCCUCGCUAUCUCCCUGCUUGCUAAACUCGGCCUGCUAACUGCUAGCUUGUCUAGCCCGGGCCUACGAACUGUUAGCUUGUUAGCACAGGCCUGCUAACCGUCUGAAUCGCCGCGUCCCAAACACUCACCGGACCCAUAUUUACUUUCUAUCUCUUCUUGAUUUUUAAUCUGUUUAUACCUUUCCGGAAACCUGCCUCACCCAAUGUGAUACGGAAUCGCUAUUUUUUUUUUUUUUAAUUUUUAGAACACACUCAAGAACCUCCAGAAGCUAACCAGCUAACUAGCUACAAGCUAUUUAGUCAUUGUUAACUUUUUUUUUUUUUUUUUUUUUUCAACCUGGAUAACACUCGCCAGUCCAGCUUCCCUGCCCCAUCCACCGCUGCCCCCUGGACACUGAUCUCUUGGCUACAUAGCUGAUGCACUCUGGACUGUCCAUUAAUCACGGUACUCCAUUCUGCUUGUUUAUGUUUUAUCUGUCGGCCCCGUUGCCUAGUCAACGCCAUUUUACCUGCUGUUGUUGUGCUAGCUGAUUAGCUGUUGUCUCACCUACUGUUUAAGCUAGCUUUCCCAAUUCAACACCUGUGAUUACUGUAUGCCUCGCUGUAUGUCUCUCUCAAAUGUCAAUAUGCCUUGUAUACUGUUGCUCAGGUUAGUUAUCAUUGUUCUAGUUCACAAUGGAGCCCCUAGUUCUACUCUUCAUACCCCUGAUAACUCCUUUGUCCCACCUCCCACACAUGCGGUGACCUCACCCAUUACAACCAGCAUGUCCAGAGACACAACCUCUCUCAUCAUCACC